rnacentral:tRNA from 1 species
GUUUAUGUAGUUUAAUAAAAACAUUACAUUUUCAUUGUAAAAAUAAAAAUUUAUUUUUCAUAAAUA